rnacentral:rRNA from 1 species
CAGAACGACGCUGGCGGCAUGCCUAACACAUGCAAGUCGAACGAGACCUUCGGGUCUAGUGGCGCACGGGUGCGUAACACGUGGGAAUUUGCCUCGGGGUAUGGAAUAACUCAGGGAAACUUGAGCUAAUACCAUAUAAUGUCUUCGGACCAAAGAUUUAUCGCCCUGAGAUAAGCCCGCGUAGGAUUAGCUAGUUGGUGGGGUAAAGGCUCACCAAGGCGACGAUCCUUAGCUGGUCUGAGAGGAUGAUCAGCCACACUGGGACUGAGACACGGCCCAGACUCCUACGGGAGGCAGCAGUGGGGGAAUAUUGGACAAUGGGCGAAAGCCUGAUCCAGCAAUGCCGCGUGAGUGAUGAAGGCCUUCGGGUUGUAAAGCUCUUUUACUCGGGACGAUAAUGACGGUACCGAGAGAAUAAGCCCCGGCUAACUCCGUG